AAAGAGAAGCAAAACAACUGAUGAUUCAAGUGAGCUAAACUAUGCAAGAAUCAAGUUUGCAAAGAAGAAAGAAGCAAACCCAACCCCAGUGGGUUUGGAUAAUAUUGCAUCUGACUACGCUCAAGUCAGAGUGAACCACAACAACACAGCUGGAGGAGCGCCUUCUCAUGUCUAGCAGUGGAGAAGCUAAAGAGCAAGAUUCCCACAGACAAAGGAAGAAGGAUGGAGGUUGAACUUUACUCAGCGGAAUGUGCUUGGAUCAGGGUAAAAACCAACAGAAGGCUGGCACAAUAAUGCAGAGAGAGCUUUUAACUUCUUUAUUUAUUUUAUUGACUAUAAUGCUUUUGAUUGUUCUGUGCAAUAUUUAACUCGGUUAGGAUUUUCAAGUUGAAAUUCAAGUUUACAGAUCAUAGUAAGUCUGGUAGAUUCUAUGAAGUUUCUAAUCAAUGUUAAUAUGUCAAACUAAUGUUUUAUUAAUUCCGCUGUGUUAUUGUGACCAAGGGGCCUUAAGAGAAAAAAAUA